ACACUGGAACUGAGACACGGUCCAGACUCCUACGGGAGGCAGCAGUAGGGAAUAUUGCGCAAUGGGGGAAACCCUGACGCAGCAACGCCGCGUGGAGGAUGACACUUUUCGGAGCGUAAACUCCUUUUCUUAGGGAAGAAUUCUGACGGUACCUAAGGAAUAAGCACCGGCUAACUCCGUGCCAGCAGCCGCGUUAAUACGGAGGGUGCAAGCGUUACUCGGAAUCACUGGGCGUAAAGGGCGCGUAGGCGGAUUAUCAAGUCUCUUGUGAAAUCUAAUGGCUUAACCAUUAAACUGCUUGGGAAACUGAUAGUCUAGAGUGAGGGAGAGGCAGAUGGAAUUGGUGGUGUAGGGGUAAAAUCCGUAGAUAUCACCAAGAAUACCCAUUGCGAAGGCGAUCUGCUGGAACUCAACUGACGCUAAGGCGCGAAAGCGUGGGGAGCAAACAGGAUUAGAUACCCUGGUAGUCCACGCCCUAAACGAUGUACACUAGUUGUUGGGGUGCUAGUCAUCUCAGUAAUGCAGCUAACGCAUUAAGUGUACCGCCUGGGGAGUACGGUCGCAAGAUUAAAACUCAAAGGAAUAGACGGGGACCCGCACAAGCGGUGGAGCAUGUGGUUUAAUUCGAAGAUACGCGAAGAACCUUACCUGGGCUUGAUAUCCUAAGAACCUUAUAGAGAUAUGAGGGUGCUAGCUUGCUAGAACUUAGAGACAGGUGCUGCACGGCUGUCGUCAGCUCGUGUCGUGAGAUGUUGGGUUAAGUCCCGCAA
rnacentral:rRNA from 1 species